CUGGUGGGGAGGUCUUCACUGCAGGGCUUUGGGAUGCCUGUGGCAAUGGGCCAUUGAGAUCAGCUGAACCCAUCAUUACAGGGUCUGGUGACAUUUGAGAAUGUGGCUGUGUAUUUCUCCCAGGGGGAGUGUGGAGGCUCCUUAGUGUAACCCAGAGGCACCAGUACUGUGAUGUUGUGUCGGAGAACUUUCAGCUCAUUGGCUCGCUGGGCUCAGCAUGCUGGAAGCUGUUUCUCUAAAGUAGAAUAGUUAUCUGCAGAAGAAGAUGGAGACUUGCUUCCAAAUCUGAGAGAUCUGUGCUGCAAUUCUCCUGUUGCUGCUUCCUGGAGGCUCCAUGUGGUGUCCUGAUUUGCCACAGACACUUCAAGUAUCAUCGAGUCUGCUGGAUCGUGAGGCCCAGGUGGUGAAGCAGACUGUACUGCAGGUGGAACCUGCUUCAGAGCCUUCUCUCCUUCUGGUUCCCACUUAAAACCAGAAGGAUGGUUCAAAGCAGUAGAUUCAGAUGUGGUGUACGUUGCCUCCAAAAUCC
rnacentral:lncRNA from 1 species